rfam:Ipomoea nil DNA, scaffold: scaffold2283, cultivar: Tokyo-kokei standard.
GUGGGCGUGUCGGAGUGAUUAUUGGGCAUGACUAGAAAUCAUGUGGGCUUUACUCGCGUAGGUUCGAAUCUUGCCGCUCACU